UACAGAGGGUGCGAGCGUUAAUCGGAGUUACUGGGCGUAAAGGGCGCGUAGGCGGUAUAUUAAGCUAGAUGUGAAAUACCCGGGCUUAACCUGGGCAGGUCAUCUAAGACUGAUGUACUGGAGUACUGUAGAGGGUAGUGGAAUUUCCGGUGUAGCGGUGAAAUGCGUAGAGAUCGGAAGGAACACCAGUGGCGAAGGCGGCUACCUGGACAGACACUGACGCUGAGGCGCGAGAGCGUGGGGAGCAAACAGG
rnacentral:rRNA from 1 species